CCUACGGGUGACUGCAAUGAGGAAUAUUGGUCAAUGGUCGGGAGACUGAACCAGCCAAGCCGCGUGAGGGAGGAAGGUACAGAGUAUCGUAAACCUCUUUUGUCAGGGAACAAAGGCGGGGACGUGUCCCCGGAUGAGUGUACCUGAAGAAAAAGCAUCGGCUAACUCCGUGCCAGCAGCCGCGGUAAUACGGAGGAUGCGAGCGUUAUCCGGAUUUAUUGGGUUUAAAGGGUGCGCAGGCGGUCUGUUAAGUCAGCGGUCAAAGCCCGGGGCUCAACCCCGGCCCGCCGUUGAAACUGGCAGUCUCGAGUUGGAGAGAAGUAUGCGGAAUGCGCGGUGUAGCGGUGAAAUGCGUAGAUAUUAGGAAGAACACCAGUGGCGAAGGCGGCUUUCUGGACUGAAACUGACGCUGAGGCACGAAAGCGUGGGGAGCGAACAGGAUUAGAUACCCCAGUAGUC
rnacentral:rRNA from 1 species